rnacentral:lncRNA from 1 species
AGAGAAAGGAAGGCUGAGAUAAGCUGUUUUAUAAGAAAUAGUUAUGCUGAACAGAUCCAAGUUUUGCUGAGGUGAAGCAGAAACAAUAUGGCGAUUAGAAAGAACAGCGAGGUCAAGAUGUUACUGCAUUUUCAACCUGGGUAACUACGAGGUCAAUAUGUGAAUAAGUUAACAAUGUAUUGCUGAAGAAAUUAUGAAUAGAAUGGAGAGG